GAUGAACGCUGGCGGCGUGCCUAAUACAUGCAAGUCGAGCGAACAGACGAGGAGCUUGCUCCUCUGACGUUAGCGGCGGACGGGUGAGUAACACGUGGAUAACCUACCUAUAAGACUGGGAUAACUUCGGGAAACCGGAGCUAAUACCGGAUAAUCUAUUGAACCGCAUGGUUCAAUAAUGAAAGACGGUUUUGCCGUCGCUUAUAGAUGGAUCCGCGCCGCAUUAGCUAGUUGGUAAGGUAACGGCUUACCAAGGCGACGAUGCGUAGCCGACCUGAGAGGGGGAUCGGCCACAUUGGAACGGAGACACGGUCCAGACUCCUACGGGAGGCAGCAGGAGGGAAUCUUCGGCAAUGGGCGAAAGCCUGACGGAGCAAGGCCGCGUGAGUGAUGAAGGUCUUCGGAUCGUAAAACUCUGUUAUUAGGGAAGAACAAAUGUGUAAGUAACUAUGCACGUCUUGACGGUACCUAAUCAGAAAGCCACGGCUAACUACGUG
rnacentral:rRNA from 1 species